rnacentral:snoRNA from 2 species
CCCCUCUCAGGCUCACACCUGGAGAGUUCCCAGUACUCUACCAGUUUCGACUCCAGGAGGGAGAGUCAGGCUGAGGCAUACCCAUUCCAUUCCUAGCUUGGCCAGUGGCUAGCGAGUGGAAGGCAAUCUGCUAAAGUC